AUGACUUUGAUCGAUUGGUGGCGGCCAGAGACGCACAACUUCCAUCUUCCAUGUGGGGAGAUAUCGGUUACACUGGAGGAUUGGGGGAUGAUUAUGGGCCUACCGCUCAAGGGUCUUUCUCUCACAGGACUAGUGGAGAGGAAGAAUUGGCACGAUAGGGUUAUCGCCCUCAUUGGCGACUGCCCCCCAGAUAAGAAGAACCGGACUUCCGGUGUCCCACUGCCCUGGCUCCUGAAGUACCCACUACAAAAAAAGACACAUCCGUGA
rnacentral:rRNA from 1 species